rnacentral:rRNA from 1 species
GACAGAGGUGCCGAGCGUUAGGCGGAAUCACUGGGCUUAAAGCGUGUGUAGGCGGGCGGGCAAGUACCUUGUGAAAUCCCACGGCUCAACCGUGGAACGGCUGGGUAUACUGCCUGUCUUGAGCCAACUGGGGGCGAGCGGAACAGACGGUGGAGCGGUGAAAUGCGUAGAUAUCGUCUGGAACGCCAAAGGUGAAAACAGCUCGCUGGGGUUGUGCUGACGCUGAGACACGAAAGCCAGGGGAGCGAACGGG